rnacentral:rRNA from 1 species
GUCCACGCCGUAAACGAUGAUAACUCGUUGCCGGCGAUAAACAGUCGGUGACCAAGCGAAAGCGUUAAGUUAUCCACCUGGGGAAUACGACCGCAAGGUUGAAACUCAAAGGAAUUGACGGGGGCCCGCACAAGCGGAGGAACAUGUGGUUUAAUUCGAUGAUACGCGAGGAACCUUACCCGGGCUUGAAAGUUAGCGACGGACCUUGAAAGGGGUCUUCUCUUCGGAGCGCGAAACUAGGUGCUGCAUGGUUGUCGU